rnacentral:rRNA from 1 species
UACGAAGGGGGGUAGCGUUGUUCGGAAUCACUGGGCGUAAAGCGCACGCAGGCAGAUCGAUAAGUCGGGGGUGAAAGCCCGGGGCUCAACCUCGGAAUUGCCUUCGAUACUGUCGGUCUCGAGUCCGGGAGAGGUGAGUGGAAUUCCUAGUGUAGAGGUGAAAUUCGUAGAUAUUAGUAAGAACACCAGUGGCGAAGGCGGCUCACUGGCCCGGUACUGAUGCUCAGGUGCGAAAGCGUGGGGAGCAAACAGG